AUGCCCUUCACUACGGAAUAGCCUCGGGAAACUGAGAGUAAUACCGUAUACGCCCUUUGGGGAAAGAUUUAUCGGUGAAGGAUUAGCCCGCGUCUGAUUAGAUAGUUGGUGGGGUAACGGCCUACCAAGUCGACGAUCAGUAGCUGGUUUGAGAGGAUGAUCAGCAACACUGGGACUGAGACACGGCCCAGACUCCUACGGGAGGCAGCAGUGGGGAAUCUUAGACAAUGGGCGCAAGUGAUCUAGCCAUGCCGCGUGAGUGACGAAGGCCUUAGGGUCGUAAAGCUCUUUCGCCAGGGAUGAUAAUGACAGUACCUGGUAAAGAAACCCCGGCUAACUCCGUGCCAGCAGCCGCGGUAAUACGGAGGGGGUUAGCGUUGUUCGGAAUUACUGGGCGUAAAGCGCGCGUAGGGGAUUGGAAAGUUGGGGGUGAAAUCCCGGGGCUCAACCCCGAACUGCCUCCAAAACUAUCAGUCUAGAGUUCGAGAGAGGUGAGUGGAAUUCCAAGUGUAGAGGUGAAAUUCGUAGAUAUUUGGAGGAACACCAGUGGCGAAGGGGCUCACUGGCUCGAUACUGACGCUGAGGUGCGAAAGUGUGGGGAGCAAACAGGAUUAGAUACCCUGGUAGUCCACACCGUAAACGAUGAAUGCCAGACGUCGGGGGGCUUGCCUUCGGUGUCACACCUAACGGAUUAAGCAUUCCGCCUGGGGAGUA
rnacentral:rRNA from 1 species